UUCGCUCUUUCAAUAGUUUCGACAUGUUUCUUUCCCCUUGGUUGGGAAAGAGGAGUUUCAUAAAAUCAUCUAUGCACCUCAACCAAGCCCAUGACGUAGCUGCGUUCAAGCGAAAGGAAGGAAAAUUCCACAACUAUUUUAGCUCCCUUUUUUUUUCUCUUCCUUUCUCAUUCUUUUUUUCCCACUACGGUGGUCAAUGAUGAGUGAUAUGCGGCCAUGGUCGUGUAUCUCAAUACAUAUAUAGGAAGAGGAUGAAUUGCUCUCUUUUGAGAGCUUGAUAUCGACUGACAACACUCUGAGGCCUGAUUUGGUUUUAUUCCAACCAAC
rnacentral:sRNA from 2 species